rnacentral:lncRNA from 1 species
AAAAAGCCCUUCAUGAAGAAAAAUUAUUUGGAGUCGAAUCACGUCAGGCACGAAGGAGAGCAUGCAUUGGUCAAUUCAGCACCUCAUGGAGUCUACAGGAAUAAUGGGAAACAAACCUAAGGAGUAGGUUUACCAUGUGUUUUGCAAAUAGCUCAUUUAAGCCUUAAAAAUGGGUUAUGUGGCAAAGUAACUUGCCGAUCAAGUUUGGAGCUGAGAUU